rnacentral:rRNA from 1 species
UACAGAGGGUGCGAGCGUUAAUCGGAAUUACUGGGCGUAAAGCGCGCGUAGGCGGCUUUGCAAGUCGGGUGUGAAAUCCCCAGGCUUAACCUGGGAACUGCAUUCGAGACUGCAUUGCUAGAGUAUGGGAGAGGGAAGUGGAAUUUCCGGUGUAGCGGUGAAAUGCGUAGAUAUCGGGAGGAACAUCAGUGGCGAAGGCGACUUCCUGGACCAAUACUGACGCUCAUGUGCGAAAGCGUGGGGAGCAAACAGG